AGGAAUGAUGGUUAUCGAAAUAGCUUAGAGGUGACGUUGCCCAGCAGUAGUGCUCAGGUCUACAAAUUGACUCGCAUUGCGAGAGUUUAAGGCUAUUUAUGGAUUCAAGGAAGACUUUUGAUUUGCAUCCAUGGCAUUUCCUCUUUUUUUUCUCUAGUGUAAAAGAAUGCUUGUUAGCUCAGUUUAUUGUUUGGAUGAAAAUGGGUGAUGGGUGAAUUUUUAA